GUAACCGUUAAGAUGUAACGUUAACUACUAAUAGUCCUUUUUUUAAAUGUAUAUGUCUCUUAAUGUAAAAUUUUAAUUUCCACAUUUCAAAACAAAAUGAAAAACUAGGCCACCCUCCAUACACCCUAAUUCACGAACACAAAGAUGUAAAGUUCACCGGGCCGUAUCCAUAUUAUCUCGCUCAGCUAUGGAUCACUACAGAAAUUUAUAUACUAUAGUUGCGUUGGAUGCCUUAUUCCUUAUCGUAUACCUAUGCGCCCUCCAUACUAAUCGCUUAAUGGAUUUUCUGCUUCCAUGGAAGUUAUUAUCAAUCAAACAGGUAUCUAGCUAGUGGAAACACUUUCACAGAUUUAUCCUACAGCUACAGAAUUGAUAUCUCUACUAUUUCGGGAAUUGUUAAAAGCGUCUGUACCAGCAUGUGGACUGUAAUGAAAAAUGAAUGCAUUCCACAGCCAACAACCGAAAAACUGAAAGAGAUCGCCAAUGAGUUUGAAAAGAGGGCCAACUUCCCGCACUGUGU
rnacentral:lncRNA from 1 species